rnacentral:lncRNA from 1 species
AGGCCUGAAUACUCAUCACUUCAGGCCAUACUUUAUGGUCCCUAUUUGUUAGCUGGACUCACAAGCAGGGACUGGAGCAUCACAACUCAACCUAAAGAUGGGAAAUGGAUAAGCUCUAUACCUGAAACUCAUAAUAGUCACCUUGUCACACUCUCACAACAAUCUGGUAACAUAUCAUACGUGUUGUCAAAUAACAACCAAACCAUCACCAUGGAAGUAUCACCCGCUCCAGGGACAGAAAGAGCUGUUGCCGCAACUUUCAGGCUUGUGACCGCUGAUUCUAAAGGGAAGGUUUCGAUUCCAGAGGAGCUAAUCGGAAGCCUGGUUAAGGUAGAACCGUUUGAUUUCCCUGGAAUGCUUGUGUCGCAAGCAACUGAUAGCUCCCUUGCGGUUCAAGAUUCUACUUCUAUUGAAGCCUCGAGCUUCCGGUUAGUAGCUGGAGUUGAUGGGAAGGAAGGAAGUGUUUCAUUAAGGCUAGAGAGUAAGAAGGGCUGUUUUGUGUAUAGCGAUGAAACCCUAAAGGCGGGAAUGAAACUGAAGCUCAAGUGUGAUUCGGAUGCGAGUGAUGACAAGUUUAAACAGGGAGCAAGCUUUAGGUUAAGGAAGGGAAUGAGUCAAUACAAUCCUAUGAGUUUCGUGAUGAGUGGAACACAGAGGAACUUUGUGUUAUCACCAUUGUUCAGCUUAAGAGAUGAAACAUACAAUGUCUACUUCAGUGUACAAACUUGAAGAAAAAAAUAUUCAACAAAAAGAAACUCCUUAAGUACAUUGGGAGGAAAAUAAGAAAAAGUCUUAUGAAAUAGCUAUAAGGGUUGUGUUUAGUUGUUAGCAUGUUAGGUGGUUUGUGUUAUGCAAUUUGAUCUACAAAUGUAUGUUGCAAGUUAUUAAUAAAAAUAGACAAAAGGUUUUAUUAAUUAGCAUGGUAAUUUAUUGCACAUCUUUGUUUUAUGGUUCAUGAAUGUGAAAAUAUUCUUAAAAGAGAGCAGUGUAGGCUGCAGAAAGCAUAGUCCCGUGCAAUGAAAUAAGCCGUAGACAAGAAAACAAACAAGUGCUCUACAACAUUGAUUCCAUUCAAUCAAUACGCUCAACAUUAAAAGAAAUAAACUAAUAAGUGAAAAAGAAAAACAAACUUGGAAAGGCGUGAAAAUGGAAGUUCAAAUUGAAAAUUAAGAAAAAAGAAUGGUGAAUAAAAUAAGAGAAGAGGUCAAAAGGAGUAGGUCCACAAAAAGCAGCAAGAUCUUAGCACUCACAUGUCCCCAUAUAUUCUAUUUUCUAUUGUACACUCUCUUCUUCAUUCAGCUCACUCUCACUCUGCUUCUCCAUCUCAGUUUCAAUAUCUUUUUUUCUUCUAAACUUUCCAUUCAAGAAGGGGAAAUUAUGCAUUUCUGAAUUAAUCUCUCCGUUUUUUUUUUUUUUUUCAACAAUGGACUGAGUGGACCUUCCAAAGCGGAGAGAGUUGAAGGUAGAGUAGGUAACGGCGGCUGAAGCGGCUGGAGCAGCUGGAUAAGUCAUUUUCGUGACGGAUGUGAGAAAGUAAAGCGAUCGGAAAACUGAGAAAGAAAAGUUUGAGACAAGAUGGAGCUUUUACCUCGAGAGAUUCUAUAUAUAUGAGAGCUCUGAAGGCGUUAGAGGAGAAACUAAGCGUUUGGUAGGCGCAAAACGUGCGUAGAGCCUUAAAGAUCGACCAUAAUAACUGAUUGCCGAAAGGGGAAUCACAAGCGACGAAGGAGAUGGUGAAGAUGGCGGCUUCGCUAAUCUUCUUAGCUUUGUCCGUAUCACCACUUUGGGCAGAUACAAAUCCUAAUAAACAGAAAAUCAAUAAGCUCAAAGCCCACUUUUUGUCGAAGUCCAUUCGUUACCCAUCAAUUAAAAAAAAAAAGUAGGGUCCACAAUGUUAUAUUAGUUUUGAUCUUUAUAAUAUAUAUUAGUUUCGACCAUCAAUGUACAAAGUAUCCUUUAGUGUAAUGGUAUAGUUGUGGGUGUUUGUAUCUCAAUAACCUGGGUUCGAGUCACAUAUUUGACAUUUUUUCACACUUUUAAAAAGUAGAACCCACAGAUCGCUGACGUGUCGCAUCAGGAGGAGAGAAACUCUCCUAUUAUAUAAUAGAUUUUUAUUUUAAAACAAGAAAAGCUUUAAGUCACACAACAAAUAAAGUGUAGCAAAAAAAAUCGGCAUCGUUGGGAUCCAUAGUAUCGGUCGCUAAAGAUUCUUCGGUUAAAUUAAAAAAGAAAAAUAACUUGUGGCAAAAAGAAAAAAAAAAUCCAUUAAUACUACUGUUAGAAAGAGUCACAUGUCACCCUAUUCCAGUUACUUAAAUACUCUUGUUAUGUAAAUCCAGCUGUCAAACAAAUUAGUAUAUUAAUUUGUGAACCUAGUAUGUUAGUUUUCUUCAAAAUUAAACAGUGUUAAAUAAGUUUGAAUAAUACAUCUCUACAGAAUAUUAUAUUUAAAAGCUUUAGAAUCUUAAUUAUUUUUUCAGACAGUUAAACACAACAAAAGCAUACAUUUUCAAGUCAACAUUUAUUAAUAGUAUACAGUUUUUAAAAUAUAUUUAUUAAUUAUAAACAGUUUUGGACAUGGUGUUCCUUUUGUUUAGUGGUCCAUUAUUCUUCAACAUCUCGAGAAAAACCAGAAACAUCCCACUGAUCUCUCAUCGAAACAGAAACAGUUCUUGCCUUUUACAGAGUCAAAAUACAAACACACAAGGCAACGUAAGCGACAAAGCAUCCGUGACCUCCUCGUCGAUUCUUUUUAUUUGUUUUUUUUUCUCGGAAUUGUUAUCCUCAUUACCCUCUUUUUUCUCCUUCACGUGAUCAUAUUACAUCUUUUGUUCUGUUUUCUUUUGUGGCAGACAUUGCUUAAAUCUUCAAAACUCUCUUUGCUUUCUUACACUUUAUAUAUAUCCACUCUCAUUACUCUCUUCUUCCAACUCUCUCUAACUGUUAAUGUGUGUUUGAGUCUUUUCUUUCUCAUUCUUGGAAUCUGAAUUUGUGAUUCUUGGUUUUUUAAGACAAAAGAGAUGAAGUCUUGUCUCAUCAUAACCUUUGCUUUAUUAUUACUAUACAUAAUCUCUGUUCUUUGUUUAGCAAAAGAGUGCACAAACACUCCUUCACAGCUCUCCUCACACACAUUCCGCAAUGCGCUUCUCCAAUCAAAGAACGAAUCUCUGAAGACAGAGAUGUUCUCUCAUUACCAUCUAACACCAACUGACGACACAGCUUGGUCUAGUUUGCUGCCAAGAAAGAUGCUGAGGGAAGAGGAAGAUGAAUACGGUUGGACUAUGAUGUACAGGAAAAUCAAGAACUCUGAUAGCUUUCUCAAGGAAGUUUCUCUGCACGACGUUAGACUGGACCCAAACACCUUCCACUGGAGAGCUCAGCAGACAAAUCUCGAGUAUCUGUUGAUGUUGGAUGUUGAUAGUUUGGCCUGGAGCUUCCGUAAAGCAGCUGGCCUUGAUGCUCCAGGAAGUUACUAUGGAGGAUGGGAGAGACCAGAUAGUGAACUCCGUGGCCAUUUUGUCGGUAUAGAGCUGCAUCCUUUCCUCAAUUCAGAUUCAGUUUCUUAGUCUUAAGUUGUUCAUAGUAUGCAAGAAAAUAGGUUUAUAGAUUUGAUGUCUGAUUUUUUUUUUUACAAGGUCACUAUCUGAGUGCAACAGCGUACAUGUGGGCAAGUACUCAUAACAAUACUCUCAAGGAGAAGAUGUCAGCUCUUGUCUCAGCUUUAUCUGCUUGCCAACAGAAACUUGGCACUGGUUAUCUUUCUGCUUUCCCUUCAAGCUUUUUCGACCGGUUUGAAGCUAUAACUCCUGUCUGGGCUCCAUACUACACCAUUCACAAGGUGAAUACUCAUAACCUCUGAUAUAGAUUGUAGAUUAGACCAGAGGUCAAUAGUUCAACUGGAAAUGACCCUUGGCCAUUAUGUUAGAGGUCCCCAGUUCGAGUGACUGAUAGGACGAAACUAAUAUUACAUGUUUAUUCAAAAAGAAAAAAAGUUGUAGAUUAGUAUGUUUGUGUUUUAUAUUGACAGGUUACAACUCUAUGUCUUAAUAGAUUUUAGCUGGUCUAGUGGAUCAAUACAAGUUAGCUGGGAACACUCAAGCUCUGAAAAUGGCAACAUGGAUGGGUGAUUACUUCUAUGGCCGUGUACGUAAUGUGAUAAAGACUUACAGUGUCGAAAGACACUGGCAAUCACUAAACGAGGAGACUGGUGGCAUGAAUGAUGUUCUCUAUCAGAUAUACAGCAUUACUGUGAGUUCAAAAAUCUUAUAAGACUCUUAGAUUUCUACGUAGCUUUGUGUUCAUAUCAUAGCUUUAAUUGGACUCUGCAGGGAGAUUCCAAGUAUUUGCUGCUUGCACAUCUCUUUGACAAGCCUUGCUUUCUUGGAGUGCUUGCAGUUCAGGUAGGUUGUUUAACUUGAUGGUUCGCUUGAAUAAGUAUGUGAAUGGUAACAUAACAGAGUUUCUUUUCAGGCUGAUGAUAUAAGUGGAUUCCACUCUAACACACAUAUUCCCAUUGUGGUUGGAUCUCAACUCCGUUAUGAGAUCACUGGUGAUCCACUCCAUAAGGUAUUGAAACAUGAUCAAGAAAAGUGUGAGAUUAAAUGAAGUAAAAAUUGGUUUUUUCUUGAUUCUGUAAUCUUCUUUUUCAGGAAAUAUCAAUGUUUUUUAUGGAUAUAGUCAAUGCUUCUCACAGCUAUGCAACUGGUGGAACAUCAGUGAAUGAGUUCUGGUACUACUAACAUUACCUAACUUUAGAGUUUGGUUCAUUUUAACCAUGAUCUUAACUAUAAUCUUGAAAUGUUGUUUCCAGGCAAGAUCCAAAGAGAAUGGCCACUACUUUGCAAACUGAAAAUGAGGAAUCAUGUACUACUUAUAACAUGCUCAAGGUAUGAAUUCAACACUUUUUCUAUUUUUAUAUAGCUCAAGGUGGUAACAUAUCAAUUUCAGGUGUCUAGGAAUCUGUUUAGGUGGACAAAAGAAGUUAGUUAUGCAGACUAUUAUGAACGUGCUUUGACUAACGGUGUGCUUGGGAUUCAAAGAGGAACUGAGCCUGGACUAAUGAUCUACAUGCUCCCAUUGGGUAAAGGUGUUUCUAAGGCUGUGACUUAUCACGGUUGGGGAACACCCUAUGAUUCCUUCUGGUGUUGCUAUGGCACUGGUAAGUGGUAACGCUGGUUUGCUACAUUGUUUUUACUUAGAAAAACAAAUAGAAGCUUGAGAUUUUUGUUUGUCUCUAUUCACAGGAGUUGAAUCCUUUUCAAAAUUGGGAGACUCUAUAUAUUUUCAAGAAGAUGGGGAAUCUCCAUCUCUUUAUGUCGCACAGUAUAUAUCAAGCUCACUUGAUUGGAAAUCUGCUGGUCUUACACUAUCUCAGAAAGUUAAACCUGUUGUGUCUUGGGAUCCAUAUAUGCGUGUGACAUUUUCUUUCUCUUCUUCCAAGGGGGUAAGCUUUUGAAAACCAGAUGCAACUUGUUUUAUGUAAAUAGAGAUUCUAAUGGACCUGAUUUUCUUGCAGGGAAUGGGGAAGGAGUUCACUUUGAAUCUAAGAAUACCUGUUUGGACAAACUCUGAAAGUGCUAAAGUAUCUUUCAAUGGACAGCCUCUGAAAGUACCAGCUUCAGGUGAUUUGAGCAUUAUGUAUUGUUAACUUCUUUAUCUAUCACCAAAAGGUUAAUAGAAACGGGUUUUAGAUGCUAAAAGCGGAAACUGCUAGACUCCAGUUCCACUAUGUAAAAAUGAGAGAUCAUAUUGGACCUGACUUUUGCUUUGCAGGUAACUUUUUACCAAUCAAACAGAACUGGAAAUCCGGAGAUCAAGUAACCAUGGAGCUACCGUUGAGUAUCAGAACCGAAGCUAUAAAAGGUAUAGUAACUAUACUUCUAACUUAAAACCAAUUGGCUAUAAAUGAAUUAGCUGAAAUACCGUAUAUAUUUUCUAAGUCGCAUUUUAAGUUUCCGACGUGGGAUUUUUUCUCCAACAUGAAUCUUUUGAAAUCACUGUCCUCACUCUGCCAAAUUAAGUAUAGCAUAGGAUACUAGCAAUAAUGUAUCAUAGUGUAUAAAAAUUGCAUACAACUCUGUUCUGACGACAGAAACUAAUUUCACUAUUUUUCCUUUUAUGGUGACUAUUUCAGAUGAUAGGCCUGAAUACUCAUCACUUCAGGCCAUACUUUAUGGUCCCUAUUUGUUAGCUGGACUCACAAGCAGGGACUGGAGCAUCACAACUCAACCUAAAGAUGGGAAAUGGAUAAGCUCUAUACCUGAAACUCAUAAUAGUCACCUUGUCACACUCUCACAACAAUCUGGUAACAUAUCAUACGUGUUGUCAAAUAACAACCAAACCAUCACCAUGGAAGUAUCACCCGCUCCAGGGACAGAAAGAGCUGUUGCCGCAACUUUCAGGCUUGUGACCGCUGAUUC